ACGCUGGCGGCAGGCCUAACACAUGCAAGUCGAGCGGUAGAGAGAAGCUUGCUUCCCUUGAGAGCGGCGGACGGGUGAGUAAUGCCUAGGAAUCUGCCUGGUAGUGGGGGAUAACGUUCGGAAACGGACGCUAAUACCGCAUACGUCCUACGGGAGAAAGCAGGGGACCUUCGGGCCUUGCGCUAUCAGAUGAGCCUAGGUCGGAUUAGCUAGUUGGUGGGGUAAUGGCUCACCAAGGCGACGAUCCGUAACUGGUCUGAGAGGAUGAUCAGUCACACUGGAACUGAGACACGGUCCAGACUCCUACGGGAGGCAGCAGUGGGGAAUAUUGGACAAUGGGCGAAAGCCUGAUCCAGCCAUGCCGCGUGUGUGAAGAAGGUCUUCGGAUUGUAAAGCACUUUAAGUUGGGAGGAAGGGCAGUAAAUUAAUACUUUGCUGUUUUGACGUUACCGACAGAAUAAGCACCGGCUAACUCUGUGCCAGCAGCCGCGGUAAUACAGAGGGUGCAAGCGUUAAUCGGAAUUACUGGGCGUAAAGCGCGCGUAGGUGGUUCGUUAAGUUGGAUGUGAAAUCCCCGGGCUCAACCUGGGAACUGCAUUCAAAACUGACGAGCUAGAGUAUGGUAGAGGGUGGUGGAAUUUCCUGUGUAGCGG
rnacentral:rRNA from 1 species